rnacentral:rRNA from 1 species
UACGUAGGGUGCUAGCGUUGUUCGGAUUUAUUGGGCGUAAAGAGUGUGUAGGCGGCCUUGUAGGGCUGCUGUGAAAACUCGAGGCUCAACCUCGAGACGUCGGCGGAAACCAUCUGGCUAGAGUCCGGAAGAGGAGAGUGGAAUUCCUGGUGUAGCGGUGAAAUGCGCAGAUAUCAGGAAGAACACCCGUGGCGAAGGCGCCUCUCUGGGACGGUACUGACGCUGAGACGCGAAAGCGUGGGGAGCGAACAGG